GAUUAAAGGGAAAAGUAGUGCCCUCCCCCAGAGGGAACUAUUUCAGAGGGAAACCCAGAAACCCCACUUUCCAGAUCUUAAAAAGGUCGGGCAGGCGGCGAGUCGGGGGGCACAAAGGACUCUUUUGAAGAUUCUGAGGAAUGAGUUGGGGCUGGGGAUUGAUUGAGUCUUUCCCAAGAUCUACAAUUCAACUUCAUGCAGAAAUAAUAUCAAAGCCUUGUUCCUGCACCUGCUAAUUAUAGGACUACAAUGUGCUCCCUCAGACAGAGCGUCCGGUCUCUGCUAAUAUGGUUAGAGAACAGCAGAAGAUGACCCAGGUAUGUGCAACUGCUGCAAACCACAUCAGGAAGGAAUUCUGGAUUCCUAGUUUUGACCCAGCCCAGACAACUGCAGUCAUUUGGGGAAUGACACAGUAGAGGAAGAACUCUAUUGCCCUAUCUUUCUGUAACUCUGCCUUCCAAAUAAGUAUGCCUUUCUCCAUUUUAUAUAAAAGUGAUUUAGAAUUAUUCAAAUUUAAGAAGUGAAAGAUUGCUUGAGAGCAUAUGGGAGAGCAAGACAAGUUUGAAGAAAUCAGAGACCUAUAUAGAAAGCCAAGAGGAUGAGUUCAUAGCACUAAGACAUAGCACAUUGCCAGAGUCUGAUUGUGAGAAUUCCUAUAGAUCAUAGAAAGAUUUGACAGUAAGAUUUUGGAUAUUUGACCAGAUUAAGAAAAUGAGAUAUGAACUUGGAUUUCUAUAGUUGCAGUGACAAGAUUAGAAUAUAGGACAUCCCAACUGGGCACUGAAAGCUGCUUUUGUAAAAGUCAGAAUGGUGUAAAGAUUGACUAGGCAAUAAGAAAUAGAAAAACAGAAAUAUUCAGCAACAUAACUCCCUGAGGGUAUGCUGAGGCAGAGACAGGGUCAAGCAUGGUGCCUA